ACUCAAAUGAAUUGACGGGAGCUCACACAAGCGGUGGAGCAUGUUGCUUAAUUCGAGGCAACGCGAAGAACCUUACCUGGGUUUGACAUGCUUGGAUUAACCUCUUGAAAGAGAGGCCACGCCCUUUGGGUGGAACAAGCACAGGUGCUGCAUGGCUGUCGUCAGCUCGUGCUGUGAAGUGUCGGGUUAAGUCCCUUAACGAGCGCAACCCCUGUCGUUAGUUGCUCACAGGUAAUGCUGAGUACUCUAACGAGACUGCCGGUGUCAAACCGGAGGAAGGUGGGGAUGACGUCAAGUCCUCAUGGCCCUUACAUCCAGGGUUGCAAACGUGCUACAAUGGCGCAUACAAAGCGACGCGAGGCCGCGAGGCGGAGCAAAUCGCAAAAAAUGCGCCCCAGUUCGGAUUGCAGGCUGCAAUUCGCCUGCAUGAAGUCGGAAUCGCUAGUAAUCGGAGAUCAGCUACGCUCCGGUGAAUAUGUUCCUGAGCUUUGUACACACCGCCCGU
rnacentral:rRNA from 1 species